rnacentral:rRNA from 1 species
AAAGCCCCGUAUACGAAGGUUUGAUGAGGAACUAGGCACGCGAACAAGUAGGCCGGGACACGUGAAAUCCUGGUUGAAGAUGGGUGGACCAUCAUCCAAGGCUAAAUACUACUUACUGACCGAUAGUGAACCAGUACCGUGAGGGAAAGGUGAAAAGAACCCCGGAGAGGGGAGUGAAAUAGAAUCUGAAACCGUUUGCGUACAAGCAGUGGGAGCAUAGUUUAGGCUGUGUGACUGCGUACCUUUUGUAUAAUGGGUCAGCGAGUUACUUUCAGUGGCGAGGUUAACUGAAUAAGGGAGCCGUAGAGAAAUCGAGUCUGAAUAGGGCGAUAGUCGCUGGGAGUAGACCCGAAACCGGGCGAUCUAGCCAUGUGCAGGAUGAAGGUUGGGUAACACCAACUGGAGGUCCGAACCGGGUAAUGUUGAAAAAUUAUCGGAUGACGUGUGGCUAGGAGUGAAAGGCUAAUCAAGCCCGGAGAUAGCUGGUUCUCCCCGAAAGCUAUUUAGGUAGCGCCUCGUGAAUGAUUACUGGGGGUAGAGCACUGUUUCGGCUAGGGGGCUGUCAUGGCUUACCAAACCGAUGCAAACUCCGAAUACCG